rnacentral:misc_RNA from 1 species
UCCGGUUUGUCACCGGCAGUCUCCCUAGAGUGCCCUUGCGUAGCAACUAGGGACAAGGGUUGCGCUCGUUGCGGGACUUAACCCAACAUCUCACGACACGAGCUGACGACAGCCAUGCAGCACCUGUGUAUCGGUUCUCUUUCGAGCACCCCCUGAUCUCUCAAGGGUUCCGACCAUGUCAAGGGUAGGUAAGGUUUUUCGCGUUGCAUCGAAUUAAUCCACAUCAUCCACCGCUUGUGCGGGUCCCCGUCAAUUCCUUUGAGUUUUAAUCUUGCGACCGUACUCCCCAGGCGGUCUACUUCACGCGUUAGCUGCGUUACCAAGUCAAUUAAGACCCGACAACUAGUAGACAUCGUUUAGGGCGUGGACUAC